ensembl:lncRNA
UCAAGAAGUUACUUUUUUUUAUGUGGCUGCUAUAGCCUGAAGUAAUUACAAUCCCAGUGUUACUUGGGGCUGGAGGGUUUAUUGCUCUCCUGAAAUUUACUGCUUCUGCUUACAUUUUCCAAAUACUGGGAAGGAAUAACAGGAGAGGGAAUUUCGAGGACUGCUGUUUGAACAGUGUCCCUCCAGGAGCAAGCAGAAAAGUAUUGAACCCAAAAGAGGAUAAGUGGGAAAGCUGAGAGACGAAUUUGCUUUCAGGAACACAAAAACCCUAAUUAAACUUUGCA